AGUCAGACACAUCACAGCGAAUGGAGACAGCAUGCCCAUCUACAUGUACCAGAGGACCAACUGGGACCUUCACCACACGGCCCUCACAGACCAACACUGAGAGAAGAAGAGAAGAUAUCUCAGUUUCAGGCUCAUACAAAUGCACAAAAGCCACUUUGGACCGACUGUUUACCUGGAACAGCUGAGAGAAAUAAGAAAGUGAAUGAAAAAUGAUAACACUCUGGGAAGUAUUUAAUCUUUUCGUCUGUGUAAUAUUAUCACGAUUCAAUGCGGUAACUUCUGUCACCUUUGUUGAGAAUGGGAAUAAUUUGACUUUAAAUCCGAAUAUAAGUGAUAAGCCUGAAGACAUUUUGUGGACAUUCAAUGAAGACAAGGUGGCCGACCAUGAUUUGAAUGAAUUUGAAGCAUACGGACGAUUCAAAGGAAGAUCGUCGAUUGAAAUCACAACUGGGCAGCUCACUGUUCGUAACAUGACAAGCCAGGACAGUGGUAUUUAUAAGUCUGAAAUACAGAUCAAUGGAAAGCAGCAAAAGUCUGAAAAUGAAGUUCAAGUUAUUGAUGCUUUGCAGGAGCCAGUUGUGACCUGUAAACUGAACAUGACUACAGAAUCAAAAACACUGUUCUGUUCAGCUUCAUCUAAUUCCACAAUAUCCUUUGAAAGGACUGGAUCAAAUUCUACACAACACUCGGAGCAAGAGCUUCAUAUCAGCAAGGAGGAGAAGCCUGAUUCAGUCUUUACUUGCACUGUGAAAAAUGAAGUUAGCCAAAAGAACACUAGCUUCACUCUGAAAGACUGCAACACAGAUGAAUUAGAUGAACCGCAAACAGAUAUGAAUACCAUGCUACCAGAUAUAUUUGUCAUCAUCGGUGCUAUUAUCUUGGGGAUUGCAGCUGUUUUCAUUUAUUUAAUUCACAAAAAAAUAAACAAAGGUAAGACAUAGGUGCUCAUUACCUCAAAAUAUAAAUAUAUGACUUUCAGCUACCCGUUUGUGCAACAAUAUUGACUUAAUUUUCUCCUAUUAGAUUCAAGGAGAUCAGGAAUUAAAAGUGAGUCUUUAUUUUGUGCUCUUUGAUUUGCAUCUUAAUUGAUGUGCUACAAAUAUAAUUCAUUAUAAAUGAUCUUCUCUCUGUGUUUAGCUAAAGAUGACGUACAAGAAAGUUUGAUAGAUGGAAAACUGUGUGAGUUAUCAGAGAUAGAAGCCCAAAGUAAGUUUAAAACUAACAAUUCUGAACAAAGAAUCAAAGACUGCGAAGACGGUGAAAACAAAGAGCAAGAAAUUACUGAUGCUGAUAAUAUGAGUAAAGAAAUGGAAUUAGAUGAAACUUCCAAAGCUCUCAGUGACAAACCUGAUCCA